ACCAACGGGAACAUCGAAGCCGAGCUUUUGUUGAACAAGGCCACGGACGUCGUAAAUGCGUUCGGCAAGGACGUCAGCAGGUAGAUCAUUCCUGUACAAGACUUCAGAGCCAACUGUUAUAGCUCUAACAUGAUCAACACCAUACUGAGGCAAAUACUGCAUAAGAGCUUGCUUUUCCAAAUCGUAAUGAGCGUCGUCAGUGGGCCAAACACCGAGGAUGGCAGAAAAGUUGUAAGGCGACUGAGCAAGUGCGGGUAAUAAGUACUCGAGAGUGUUACAAUCACUAGUGGCAUAGGUACGAAUCAUGUUGGUGUAAGGAGCAAGGACCUCAAAAUCAGCCAAGUAAUCGUCCGUAUACUUGCAGGUGCCAUCAGCAUGCUUCACGCCUAAGCAGAAGCUGAGAGUGCCAUUGGUAGAGGCAGGCUUGGUGGAAGAAGCGAUUUCGGAAGCAGCUUCAUCAACAGCCAUAGCAGAAAGAGGCAACAAAGCCAAAGCGGCAAACACAAAAGACGAAAGGAAUUGCAUUUUUGGUGAUGAAAAAGAAUAAGACAAUUGAGUUAAAAAAUGAAGUAAAAGUAGAAUAAAAAAAAUUUGAUCGAAAACGGUUUAAAAGAUAAAAAAGAAAACUUGAGAUAGAGAAGAAACUUUUAACACCUAUUAAAUUCAGAGACGAAUCCAAAAACUAUAGUAGAAACGUUGAAUUGAGUGGAUUGUUGUUUAAACGAAGAAUGUUUUAAAGCGAGAAAGAAAAGAGUGGAAUGACCCUUUAUGUUGGGAAAAACAAAAGAAAAGAAAAUAAAAUAAAUGCGACUGAAAAAGGAAAAAAA